rnacentral:rRNA from 1 species
GAUGAACGCUAGCGGGAGGCCUAACACAUGCAAGCCGAGCGGUAGAGUUUCUUCGGAAACUUGAGAGCGGCGCACGGGUGCGUAACACGUGUGCAACCUACCUUUAUCUGGGGGAUAGCCUUUCGAAAGGAAGAUUAAUACCCCAUAAUAUAAUGAUUGGCAUCAAUUAUUAUUGAAAACUCCGGUGGAUAGAGAUGGGCACGCGCAAGAUUAGAUAGUUGGUGAGGUAACGGCUCACCAAGUCAAUGAUCUUUAGGGGUCCUGAGAGGGAGAUCCCCCACACUGGUACUGAGACACGGACCAGACUCCUACGGGAGGCAGCAGUGAGGAAUAUUGGACAAGGGGGGAGAGCCUGAUCCAGCCAUCCCGCGUGAAGGAGGACGGUCCUAUGGAUUGUAAACUUCUUUUGUACAGGGAUAAACCUACCCUCGUGAGGGUAGCUGAAGGUACUGUACGAAUAAGCACCGGCUAACUCCGUG